rnacentral:sRNA from 1 species
UUUAGUGUUUCAACUCCACUGAUUAUCAAGUGGCUUGAAAAUAUUUCCUGUAGAGAUGGACCUUUUGUUUAUGGCAGAACUCAGAUGACUUUGACUUUUCAAAAGGAAGUGGCAGAGAGACUUGCAGCCAAUACAGGAAGCAAACAGCGUAGUCGCCUCUCUGUUAUGGCUCAGUACCUCUGCAAUGUUCGACACAUCUUUACAAUUCCAGGACGAGCUUUUGUCCCCAAACCAGAGGUGGACGUGGGCGUGGUGCACUUCACUCCCUUGAUACAGCCCAAGAUAGAGCAGCCGUUCAAGCUGGUGGAAAAAGUGGUUCAGAAUGUAUUUCAGUUCCGAAGGAAAUACUGCCAUCGAGGGCUCAGAGAAGAACUCAAGCAAAGAAAAAGCAAAAAUGAAGAAAAAGAAGAGGAUGAUGCAGAGAAUUAGACUCUAGCUGCUGCCUGGGGGCGAGCAGCCUACCAGAUGUUGAUUUGCACUACGUGGAGCUUCUUAUAUAGGUACUCUUUUGUCUUUACAGAAUGACAAUAAAAAUGCCAAUGACCAGAUGUGACUUAUUUUCCUUUUACUAUACAGCUUGGCAGAGAAAAUAAAUAUCAUCAAAUAAGAUACAGUACAA